GAAUGAAAUGAUGAGCUUUGUUGUUUUGAUUGCCGUGAUGAUGGCAAUUUUUAGUAUCAACUCUAGCUGAUCAUUC